AUUGAACGCUGGCGGCAGGCUUAACACAUGCAAGUCGAACGAGGGGCGGACGGGUGAGUAAUGUUUGGGAAACUGCCCGAUGGAGGGGGAUAACUACUGGAAACGGUAGCUAAUACCGCAUACCAUCAGAUGUGCCCAGAUGGGAUUAGCGAGUUGGUGGGGUAAAGGCUCACCAAGGCGACGAUCCCUAGCUGGUCGGAGAGGAGGAACAGCCACACUGGGACUGAGACACGGUCCAGACUCCUACGGGAGGCAGCAGUGGGGAAUAUUGGACAAUGGGCGCAAGCCUGAUGCAGCCAUGCCGCGUGUAUGAAGAAGGCCUUCGGGUUGUAAAGUACUUUCAGCAGGGAGGCGUUACCCGCAGAAGAAGCACCGGCUAACUCCGUGCCAGCAGCCGCGGUAAUAC
rnacentral:rRNA from 1 species